GACGAACGCUGGCGGCGUGCUUAACACAUGCAAGUCGAACGGGAUUUAGUAGACAGAAGCCUCGGCUAAAGAUUACUAAUGAGAGUGGCGAACGGGUGAGUAACGCGUGAGCAACCUGCCUAUGACAGUGGGAUAGCCUCGGGAAACCGGGAUUAAUACCGCAUAAAAUCGUAGAAACACAUGUUUUAACGGUCAAAGAUUUAUCGGUCAUAGAUGGGCUCGCGUCUGAUUAGCUAGUUGGUGCGAUAACAGCCCACCAAGGCGACGAUCAGUAGCCGGUCUGAGAGGAUGAACGGACACAUUGGAACUGAGACACGGUCCAAACUCCUACGGGAGGCAGCAGUGGGGAAUAUUGCACAAUGGGGGAAACCCUGAUGCAGCGACGCCGCGUGAACGAAGAAGGUAUUCGUAUCGUAAAGUUCUGUCCUAUGGGAAGAUAAUGACAGUACCAUAGAAGAAAGCUCCGGCUAAAUACGUG
rnacentral:rRNA from 1 species